UGGUAACAUUGCCUAUUGGCCAGUCAAGGUGUCUCUAACUGUGUUUCUAGUCAAUCUGAGAUAUAAUAAAAGUGCUGGAAAGAUCAGCAGACUUGAUCCAUUCCUUCACCAUGUCUUUCUGCUCCCAGGAGAAGGUCAAGCUCUGUAAGUUUCCAUCUAAUGGCUUCUUUUGUCUUCAUUCCAGCAAAGGAGAGGACUGAGUGGCCCAGAUGGAAAGCAGAAAUGCAGACAGAGGCCUGUGGAAGAAGAAUCUUAAAAUAACUAAGCAACUCCAAGAAAACAAGUGAGGAUUUAUUGGAAACAACUGCCUUGAAAGAAGAAAAAAACACUCCAACUUGAAAAUUUGAGAAGAUAAUACAGAAAGCUCAUAUACUUCAAGCUAUGGGAUGAAUUGUGUUCAACAAAGAAGGAAAGAACCUUUCCUGGCUGAAGUCAGAGGCUGAGGUCAGAGGAAGACGUGACUAUAGAAGAAUGAUCAUAGGAUUGCAAUAUUGCUGGUCUUGAAGACAGAGGAAGGAUGUGGGUUACAUCUAGAAACUGGAAAAGGUGAGGACCACACGUGGAAAAGGGAGGCUGAGAAUGUAAGACAUCAGCAGAGUGUGGAUCUGAUAGCUGUGUUGGGACUAAUGGAAGAUAGAUGGUUUGAGAGGCACCCACACCCUUGGAGCCCAAAACCAUGCCAUGCACAUGUAACCAACCAGCUACAUGUGAAGAUCACAUAAAGGUGUUCUUGUCCUGGCUCUAGCUAAGGUUCCAGCUCUCAGUCAGCAUCAAUUGUGGAAGAUGGGAGUGCAUGAGCUUUUAGAUGAUUUCAGUCCCCUGCCUUUGACACCAAGUGGAACUGAGAUGAUCUUUCCACCGAGCCCUAGUCAAACUGCAGAUUCAUGAGCAAAAUAAACACCAUCAUUACUGAAGCAACAUGGCAUGUGGGGUGAUAUGUUGGGGAAGCCAUAGAUAAUCAGAGAAAGCUCCUUUUCUUUGUGAGCAAUAUUAUUUGCAUAGGAGAGAGACAAAGCUGCAUGGACUGGAAACUUCCAUGACCAAAAAAGAUGUCAUUUUCUAAGGGCUUGAGUGGGAGGUGGCCCUGACAGCAUCUGCAUGAGCCAGAGAUGCACUCACACUUUCAUUAUUGCUUGAGGGUGCCAAGAACUGUAGCAGUAAGAGCAGAAGCAGAAAUGAAGAACACGAAGGAUGCUAUGGAGUGAGAGAAAAGUCCAUGCUUGCAAGAAUCCAAAGACACCCUGUGAGGACGCCCCAAAAUACUCGAGGAAGUGUGUAAGUAGAGCUGGACCUUUCAUUCUCCCAGCUGGGGUAGAACUGGAGCCAUGUGUGCAGGGCCUGCUUCUUCUUCAGGGCUGCCGUGUCCUGGAAAGCCAAGCUUGCACAUGGGUUAUAGCACUCCACUUUCCCAAAGCCCUCAUAUACAUCAUCUGUUUCAGUGCUCGCAUUAACACCUGUGAAGUAGAUAUUAUUCCCAGGUCUCACAGCCCAUAAAUGGAAACUCUGCCGGGAAAUAAGUCCUGCUUUUCUCUCUGUACCAGAGCUGCCCCAGCAAAUUAAAGCUUAUUCUAAAUGUAGGUACCUAGAGCAUUUCUUAAAUUAAACCCAGAGUGAAUUCUGAACCUCAGUCUAAGCCUCUACUGAUUUGUCUAUUCUGUGAGUUCAGAGUUCUGCAUAGUAAAAUCUCAUUAAUUCAAUCUCCAUGAAUGUAGAAUUUGGGGUAGGCAUCAGAAAGCAGUCUCUCCUUAGUCACUUAGCCACACUUACUUUGGCCCAAUGACCCAAAAAUUUCUUGUUAAGGCCUUUCUUUAAAAUGAUCUCUAAGGCAGGCACUUUAUAAAUGAAAAUCACGCCCACCUAAGCCUAGGCUUGCAGGUUUGUCUGCCUCGGGCUUUCAGGUAUGUCUGGUUCUCUUACCCCAUCAAAGGGACAGACUGCUCACAGGUGCUUAAGAUCAUCCUGGCAUGGACCCUUGUUUUAUGCAAAGUGUGUGCCAGUGCUGGAUGUGAAAACACCAGUCGAUUCCCAUUCGCUGGUCUUAGCCAGUCAGAACCUUGCUUCUGAGGCAGGGUGAUACUGUGGUUACUUCUCUCAGAUUUCCCUCUAAUGUUUGGAAGUUCCUAUACACCAUACUGUUUUUGCAUUAGCCACAGAUGUAGGCUGCAAAUGUCUACUAGGCAGCAUGGGCUAACCAAAAUAAGGACACGAUUGACCCAACCUUGUCAUUCUUAGAGACACUGGAAAUCUCCUCAAGUUGGUAAUAACUAGAAUUUUUUAUCAAAUAAUCACUGUUUUACAGAUAAAGAUGGUGCCUCCACAUAAACUGAACAUAUGGCCGGCAAAGAGCACCCCUAUUCCAUCAUCCAAGUUCUCCUUCCUUAGCUGAAGUGAAAACAUUUGAAAUUGAUGAUACAAAGUGCUGGGGAGGGUGGAGAGAAAUGGCCCCUGUCUAAGCUAUAUGGAGAGUGAAUAGCAAGGCAGUUUGCCAAUAUCUAUCACUUGUUAAAUCCACAUACACUUUGCUCCAGGAAUUAGAAUUUCAGGAAUUUAUCUUAAAACUGUUGUAACAACACAUAUAUGAAGAGGUUUAUUGUAGCCUUGCUUACAGUGACUAAGUAUCAGAAACAACCUAGAUAACUGUCAGUGGGAACUGGUUGAAUAAUUUGUUUUAUCAACAUGUAGGAAAAUAUCCAAUCUCUAUAGAGAAUGAGGCAAACUUUUACAAACUUUGUAAGAUGUAUUUCUAAGUAAAAAUAAACAUAAGAACAAACAAAUGAAAAUAACAAUGACAUGAUUUAGAAGAGUGUAUAAAAUAAAAUACAAAAGACACACACAUACACAACUCAGCAUUACAGUGAAAAUUUUGGAAAGAUAAAAUGGAAACCAUUAUAAUGGUUACAGCUAGUAUUCUGGUAAAAAAGAAACAUAUUUUCAAGAUACUGUUCAGUACCAUUUGAAGUUUUUAUUUAUUUCAUUUUUAAACCAUGUAUUACAUUUUUUAAAUUAAAAGAAAGCAAAAGCUAAAAGCAAUAUGAACACAGAAAAGUCAGUAUGAGGUUGUCGAUACGUAAAGUUUGAAAGUGCAGACUUUUCAAAAUGGCAUCACAGGAAAACUAAGGAAUAUAUACAUUUUGGACAUCAAAUUGCAUCCCAGCACGGAGAAUAUUUCUUGAAGAAAGUGGCUGGGUUUGAUUUAAGGACUUGAGGGCUGGGGUAUUUUGCCACAAAACUCUAUUUUUUUCUUUCCCAAAGUGCGUGUGACCCUGGGGUUAACUACAUUCAAUGUUUUAUCAACUCACCCUUUCAUACACUCUGCUAUACUAUUUUGAAACCAAAUUUAGGCUACUUUGCAUCAGCCAGUGAAAAGCCAAUUUCAAAUUGACACAUAUGUUGUUGUUAUCUGCUGGUCAACGGUUCUGUUUUAGCAGGUUGUCAUCUUUGUUUCUGUUUUUGUGAUCUUGUUGCUUUUAUUUUUGAGACUAUUAUUUUGAUUCUGUUGCCCAAAGCUUCUCUAGAAAAAAAUUUCACAGGGAGGGAGCAGCUGCCAAGAUCCACACCUUCUUCCCUCCACACCAACUCACUCCAUCAUCUUCAACAACUGCCAACCUAUUCAUCCUGCUUCAGUUGGAAGAGCUAAACUUUUUGUUUAUUUUUGGAUUCAAGAUAAAAUUUUAUUCAAAAGAUGGAAUCCUGUAAUAAAACACUCUUGGAAAAUAAUCUUUAAUUGCAGUUUGCAUAUAAUAUUAUUUCAAAUUGAAUAUGAUACAGACAAAUUAAACGGCUAAUGCCAGUGUUAAAAAAUGCAAGUUUCCUAAAUGUAAUGUAAUUGAGAUAAAGACAGUAUUUGUUAGGCUUGCAAAGAAGAGACUAUUUAAGUAGAAGUAUGAGGUAGGGCUAAGCACAUGGCUUUUGGGGCCAGAAUGCCUGGGCUUAGACCUUAGUGCUGCUAAUUAUUGGCUAUGCAAACUUGGGCAAUCAUUUACACAUUCUGUGCUCUGCAUAUAUGACAUAGAAAUGUUCCUGGUGCUAGUGAUAUCACAUAGCUUUGUUAUGUAAUUUAAUCAAUUACUUGAAGGACUUAGACCAUGCUCAGUGCACAGUAAGCAUUAUAUAAAUAUUAGCUACUGUCAUUACCUUUAAUCAGGUGCUCCUUAUUAGGCUUAAUACUAUGUUCAAAGGUUAAUAUGCAUGAAAUAUUGGAAACAUAUUAAUAUUAUUUGGAGUUUUAUAAUCUACUUUGGCUUUGGGGGAAAUGAAUCACUCAUGAUAUGAAAAUCAAUAAUUCAACUUCUACACAUUUAAAUUCCAUAUAUAUUUUCAGGACACACUAAAUAACACAUUAGAAGCCUUUCUGCUCAAGUAUCUUAGUCAUUUUCUAGACAUAAUUUACAUACAGUAAAGUCCACAAAUCAGUUAUACAGAUGCAGACACCUAUGUAACCACCACUCAGAACACGAGAGAACAUUUCCAGCAACCAAGAAGGCUCCCACCUGCUCCUUCUCAAUCAAUAUCCCUAAAACAGUGAACCCUCUGACCUCUACCCUUUAAUUAGCUUUUCCUGUCCUUAAGGUUCAUAUAAAUGAGCUCAUUCAGUGAGUUCUCUUUGUGUCUGGCUCCUUUUGCUUGGCAAAUCUGUGAGUCCCAUCAAUGUUGUAUGAUAGACUACAAUCAUUUGCUCUAUUCUGUUGAUGGACCUUUGAGUUGCUUCCAGUUUGGGGCUAUUUGAAUUAAACAUUUUUAUAGAUCACGAGGUCAGGAGUUCAAGAACAGCCUGGCCAACAUAGUGAAACCCCGUCUCUACUAAAAAUACAAAAAUUAGCUGGAUGUGGUGACACGUGCCUGUAGUCCCAGCUAUUCAGGAGGCUGAGGCAGGAGAAUCGCUUAAACCCAGGAGGUGGAGGUUGCAGUGAGCCAAGACCACACCAUUGCACUCCAGCCUGGGUGACAGAGUGAGACUCUGUCUCAAAAAAACAAAACAAAACAAAACAACAUUUUUGAGCAUUUUUGUACGUGUCUUCUGAUGAAUACACAACUUGCAUCUCUUGAGGAGGGAGAUUUCUGAAUCAUAAUGUAGGCUUUUGUUUAGCACAACAGCCCACCAGUUUUUCUUUGCAUUUCGUAAGGCAAGUUGCACCAUUCUUGUCCCAGAUUGGAGGCCAACUUUUCUUCAGCAAUGUGGCAGGGUGGCCUGUACUAUGGGUGUAUUAGCCUGUUCUCAUGCUGCUAACAAAGACAUACCUGAGACUGGGUAAUUUAUAAAGGAAAGAGGUUUAAUUGACUCACAGCUCCACAUGGCUGGGGAUUCUCACAAUCAUGGCGGAAGGCAAAUGAGGAGCAAAGUCAUGUCUUACAUGGCAGCAGGCAAGAGGCCAUGUGCAGGGGAACUCCCCUUUAUAAAACCAUUGGAUCUCAUGAGACUUAUUGACUAUCACAAGAAUGGUGUGGGAAAGAGCCACCCCCAUGAUUCAAUUACCUCCCACUGGGUCCUUCCCAUGACACAUGGGAAUUAUGGGAGCUACAAUUUAAGAUGAGAUUUGGGUGGGGACACAGCCAAACCAUAUCAGUGGGCAAGUUCAAUAAGCAAUGAAUGCUUAAGUACCCACCAGAGCACUGAAGCCACAGAGGUAGGAGGACCAAGAAUAGGCAUCUUGGCUGGUGACACUCAGACGUCAAGAUCCAAAUCUACAGUUUCUAUAGAGGAAAGCUUCCACUGGCAGCCAGGCCCCUGCCUUCAGGGAUGCCUCAGGCCCUGAGAGUUCACCUCUUUCUCCUGGCAAUGUCAAGUUCCACAUUUCUGAGCCAGGCAGAGGAAAUUAUUUGUGAAUUUAUGACAGAGAAAAUAUUCUUUAAACAGAAUCUUCCCUGAUUAUUGGAGCAAAUUUGGCUGCUAGGAACUGCUUCUCCCUAUUAGCUCAUUGGGAACAGAGGGGAGAGCCUCUCACUCUGCUUAACCCCCUAUGGCUCUGUUCCUUGCCAGAGAAGGGGCCCAAUAAAUGCUUGACAAGUUAAAUGGAAAUGAUUUUUCCCCUUUUAAAUGUCUCCUCACUAUGGCAUGUCAUUUAUACAGGACGAAGCUUUUAUUACAUUCAUCCUCUUUCCUCCUACCUAAUCCUCUUGUCUUUCAUCCUCCAUCCACCUGUCCUAUUGCAUUUGGGACUCAACAUGUGACAUGGAAUAAUAGUGGUUAAAGCAUUAGUUUAAGGGCCAAAAUGCCCAUGUUCAAACCCUGUUCUGCCCCAUAAUAGCCACUAGAUCUUUAUCAAAUAACUGUACUAUAUCACAAUUUUUUGUGUAAAUAAAUAAGUUAAUAUAUAUAGAAGUGCUUAGAAUUAUGCUGGGUUAAGGCCUACAUAAGUGUUACCAAAUAUUAUGUGAGAACCUACAGGGGAAAAAAAAGAAGGGAACCUCUGUUUAGCCAGAGUUCCUCCUCUAUAGAGGUCUUCUACUCUGAAAACAUCACCCUUAAUUAUUCCCAAAACAGUCUGCAAUAGUGAAGGAUACCAACCAGUAAUCCCUCAUGUCUAAUUAUACCCUUAAAACUUGCAAGCACCUUAUAUUCAGAAUAUAUUUGAAUGCUUACAGAAACCUUUUGAAAAAGAAGAAGAGGUAGUAUCCCUAUUUUGCAGGAACUAAAGUUCUUGGGCUUUCUAUCAUGCAACCAUCUAAUCACUCAUUCACCCAUUCACUGAUAUAGAGAUUGUGUUAAGCCCCUCCCAAUCCCAGUCCCCAUCCCCCGCACACUGUGUGCUACACCCAGUUCUCCUGCCUGGUCAGCCAGAGCCCAGGUCUUCUAAUAGCCAUCCUGCUCUAGUCCUACCCACCAGACCCCAGCCCUCUGUGAGCUUUUAUUCGACUACUCACUUCUCCAUCUCUCUUUUCUACCUCUUCCUCAUCCAGACUUUCAUCACCUGAACAUCACAUUCACUGCAUUUAAGUUGAAUGGCUUCCUAACUUAAUAACUUACAUAAAAAUUAUGCAUUUUAUUGUAUACUAUGUGUUUAAUAUUUAGCAGAAAGAAUAACAGAUAGAAAAAAUGAAAGAGUAAAUGAAAAUACAGAUAUACAAUAAAUGAAAAAGAGAGUCUAUAUUUUACCACUCUGGAUAAUUGCUAUAUCUCUAGAGCAGAUAUGUAUAUGUGUAUGUAUAAAUUUUAACAAAAUUGGUAUUGGAAUACACAUAACAUUUUAAAACAUACUUGUAAACUUUAAUAUCUAUCUUUCCAUGUCAAUACAUAUUUAUCAACCAAAUCAAUUUUAAUUGACUGGACAAUGUUGCACAGUAUAGAUAUCCAUUGCUUAAUUUGACCUGUUAUUGAACAGUAGGUUAUUUCCUUUUAUAGAAAUGUUUUGCUAGUAUAAACAAUGCUAAGAUAAACAUCCUUGUAUAUACUUUUAUGUUCAUAUCCUUAAUGAUGUACUUUAAAUAAAUUCUAACUGGUGACACUGCAGUCUUAUUUUUAACACUUUUGAUAGCUUUUGUAACACUGUCCUUCAGAAAGACUAUGCUAGUAAAAGGGUACCCACCACAUGCCAGCACUAGUAAGUAUUAUGUAAAACAAAUAAAAAUAAAAACUAGGCCAG
rnacentral:lncRNA from 1 species